rnacentral:rRNA from 1 species
GACGUAGGGCGCGAGCGUUGUCCGGAUUUAUUGGGCGUAAAGAGCUCGUAGGCGGCUCAUUGCGUCAACCGUGAAAACCAGCAGCUCAACUGUUGGCUUGCGGUUGAUACGGGUGGGCUGGAGUUCGGUAGGGGAGACUGGAAUUCCUGGUGUAGCGGUGAAAUGCGCAGAUAUCAGGAGGAACACCGGUGGCGAAGGCGCUCUGCUGGACCAUAACUGACACUCAGGGACGAAAGCUAGGGGAGCGAAUGGG